rnacentral:rRNA from 2 species
GGAGGGUGCGAGCGUUGUCCGGAAUCAUUGGGCGUAAAGGGCGCGUAGGUGGCCCGGUCAGUCUUUGGUGAAAGCGCGGGGCUCAACCCUGCGUCGGCCAGGGAUACUGCCGCGGCUCGAGCACUGUAGAGGCAGGCGGAAUUCCGGGUGUAGCGGUGGAAUGCGUAGAGAUCCGGAAGAACACCGGUGGCGAAGGCGGCCUGCUGGGCAGUUUUGCUGACACUGAGGCGCGACAGCGUGGGGAGCAAACAGGAUUAGAUACCCUGGUAGUCCACGCCGUAAACGAUGGGCACUAGGCGCUUGGGGGAGCGACCCCCCGAGGGCCGGCGCUAACGCAUUAAGUGCCCCGCCUGGGGAGUACGGCCGCAAGGCUG